rnacentral:rRNA from 1 species
ACCCAGUGUGAUUCGUCACACUAUCAUUAACUGAAUCCAUAGGUUAAUGAGGCGAACCGGGGGAACUGAAACAUCUAAGUACCCCGAGGAAAAGAAAUCAACCGAGAUUCCCCCAGUAGCGGCGAGCGAACGGGGAGGAGCCCAGAGCCUGAAUCAGUGUGUGUGUUAGUGGAAGCGUCUGGAAAGGCGCGCGAUACAGGGUGACAGCCCCGUACACAAAAAUGCACAUGCUGUGAGCUCGAUGAGUAGGGCGGGACACGUGGUAUCCUGUCUGAAUAUGGGGGGACCAUCCUCCAAGGCUAAAUACUCCUGACUGACCGAUAGUGAACCAGUACCGUGAGGGAAAGGCGAAAAGAACCCCGGCGAGGGGAGUGAAAAAGAACCUGAAACCGUGUACGUACAAGCAGUGGGAGCACAGAGCAAUCUGUGUGACUGCGUACCUUUUGUAUAAUGGGUCAGCGACUUAUAUUCUGUAGCAAGGUUAACCGAAUAGGGGAGCCGAAGGGAAACCGAGUCUUAACUGGGCGUUAAGUUGCAGGGUAUAGACCCGAAACCCGGUGAUCUAGCCAUGGGCAGGUUGAAGGUUGGGUAACACUAACUGGAGGACCGAACCGACUAAUGUUGAAAAAUUAGCGGAUGACUUGUGGCUGGGGGUGAAAGGCCAAUCAAACCGGGAGAUAGCUGGUUCUCCCCGAAAGCUAUUUAGGUAGCGCCUCGUGAAUUCAUCUCCGGGGGUAGAGCACUGUUUCGGCAAGGGGGUCAUCCCGACUUACCAACCCGAUGCAAACUGCGAAUACCGGAGAAUGUUAUCACGGGAGACACACGGCGGGUGCUAACGUCCGUCGUGAAGAGGGAAACAACCCAGACCGCCAGCUAAGGUCCCAAAGUCAUGGUUAAGUGGGAAACGAUGUGGGAAGGCCCAGACAGCCAGGAUGUUGGCUUAGAAGCAGCCAUCAUUUAAAGAAAGCGUAAUAGCUCACUGGUCGAGUCGGCCUGCGCGGAAGAUGUAACGGGGCUAAACCAUGCACCGAAGCUGCGGCAGCGACACUGUGUGUUGUUGGGUAGGGGAGCGUUCUGUAAGCCUGUGAAGGUGUGCUGUGAGGCAUGCUGGAGGUAUCAGAAGUGCGAAUGCUGACAUAAGUAACGAUAAAGCGGGUGAAAAGCCCGCUCGCCGGAAGACCAAGGGUUCCUGUCCAACGUUAAUCGGGGCAGGGUGAGUCGACCCCUAAGGCGAGGCCGAAAGGCGUAGUCGAUGGGAAACAGGUUAAUAUUCCUGUACUUGGUGUUACUGCGAAGGGGGGACGGAGAAGGCUAUGUUGGCCGGGCGACGGUUGUCCCGGUUUAAGCGUGUAGGCUGGUUUUCCAGGCAAAUCCGGAAAAUCAAGGCUGAGGCGUGAUGACGAGGCACUACGGUGCUGAAGCAACAAAUGCCCUGCUUCCAGGAAAAGCCUCUAAGCAUCAGGUAACAUCAAAUCGUACCCCAAACCGACACAGGUGGUCAGGUAGAGAAUACCAAGGCGCUUGAGAGAACUCGGGUGAAGGAACUAGGCAAAAUGGUGCCGUAACUUCGGGAGAAGGCACGCUGAUAUGUAGGUGAAGUCCCUCGCGGAUGGAGCUGAAAUCAGUCGAAGAUACCAGCUGGCUGCAACUGUUUAUUAAAAACACAGCACUGUGCAAACACGAAAGUGGACGUAUACGGUGUGACGCCUGCCCGGUGCCGGAAGGUUAAUUGAUGGGGUCAGCGCAAGCGAAGCUCUUGAUCGAAGCCCCGGUAAACGGCGGCCGUAACUAUAACGGUCCUAAGGUAGCGAAAUUCCUUGUCGGGUAAGUUCCGACCUGCACGAAUGGCGUAAUGAUGGCCAGGCUGUCUCCACCCGAGACUCAGUGAAAUUGAACUCGCUGUGAAGAUGCAGUGUACCCGCGGCAAGACGGAAAGACCCCGUGAACCUUUACUAUAGCUUGACACUGAACAUUGAGCCUUGAUGUGUAGGAUAGGUGGGAGGCUUUGAAGUGUGGACGCCAGUCUGCAUGGAGCCGACCUUGAAAUACCACCCUUUAAUGUUUGAUGUUCUAACGUGGACCCGUGAUCCGGGUUGCGGACAGUGUCUGGUGGGUAGUUUGACUGGGGCGGUCUCCUCCUAAAGAGUAACGGAGGAGCACGAAGGUUGGCUAAUCCUGGUCGGACAUCAGGAGGUUAGUGCAAUGGCAUAAGCCAGCUUGACUGCGAGCGUGACGGCGCGAGCAGGUGCGAAAGCAGGUCAUAGUGAUCCGGUGGUUCUGAAUGGAAGGGCCAUCGCUCAACGGAUAAAAGGUACUCCGGGGAUAACAGGCUGAUACCGCCCAAGAGUUCAUAUCGACGGCGGUGUUUGGCACCUCGAUGUCGGCUCAUCACAUCCUGGGGCUGAAGUAGGUCCCAAGGGUAUGGCUGUUCGCCAUUUAAAGUGGUACGCGAGCUGGGUUUAGAACGUCGUGAGACAGUUCGGUCCCUAUCUGCCGUGGGCGCUGGAGAACUGAGGGGGGCUGCUCCUAGUACGAGAGGACCGGAGUGGACGCAUCACUGGUGUUCGGGUUGUCAUGCCAAUGGCACUGCCCGGUAGCUAAAUGCGGAAGAGAUAAGUGCUGAAAGCAUCUAAGCACGAAACUUGCCCCGAGAUGAGUUCUCCCUGACCCUUUAAGGGUCCUGAAGGAACGUUGAAGACGACGACGUUGAUAGGCCGGGUGUGUAAGCGCAGCGAUGCGUUGAGCUAACCGGUACUAAUGAACCGUGAGGCUUAACCUUACAACGCCGAAGGUGUUU